rnacentral:rRNA from 1 species
AGUCGAGGGGUAUAGUUCUUCGGAAUUAGAGACCGGCGCACGGGUGCGUAACGCGUAUGCAAUCUACCUUUCACAGAGGGAUAGCCCAGAGAAAUUUGGAUUAAUACCUCAUAGUAUGCAGAGUUGGCAUCAACACUGCAUUAAAGUCACAACGGUGAAAGAUGAGCAUGCGUCCCAUUAGCUAGUUGGUAAGGUAACGGCUUACCAAGGCUACGAUGGGUAGGGGUCCUGAGAGGGAGAUCCCCCACACUGGUACUGAGACACGGACCAGACUCCUACGGGAGGCAGCAGUGAGGAAUAUUGGUCAAUGGGCGCAAGCCUGAACCAGCCAUGCCGCGUGCAGGAUGACGGUCCUAUGGAUUGUAAACUGCUUUUGU